AUCCAGCUGUAGGGUUCCAUACGGGACGAAACGCAUGUCCUGGAU
rfam:Schistosoma rodhaini strain Burundi genome assembly, scaffold: SROB_scaffold0000970